rnacentral:sRNA from 1 species
UACGUCCGAAGCGGGUCGGACGUGACCCA